rnacentral:rRNA from 1 species
UACGAAGGGGGCUAGGCGUUGCUCGGAUUGACUGGGCGUAAAGGGCGCGUGAGGCGGUUUGCAUAGUCAGACGUGAAAUUCCUGGGCUUAACCUGGGGGCUGCGUUUGAUACAUGCAGGCUUGAGUUCGGAAGAGGGUCGUGGAAUUCCCAGUGUAGAGGUGAAAUUCGUAGAUAUUGGGAAGAACACCGGUGGCGAAGGCGGCG